UGAGCCUACGGGGCGCAGCAGUGGGGGAUAUUGCACAAUGGGGGAAACCCUGAUGCAGCGACGCCGCGUGGGUGAAGAAGCGCCUCGGUGCGUAAAGCCCUGUCAGCAGGGAAGAAAAUGACGGUACCUGAAGAAGAAGCCCCGGCUAACUACGUGCCAGCAGCCGCGGUAAUACGUAGGGGGCAAGCGUUAUCCGGAUUUACUGGGUGUAAAGGGGGCGCAGACGGCGAUGCAAGCCAGGAGUGAAAGCCCGCGGCCCAACCGCGGGACUGCAUUGAGAACUACCGGGCUGGAGUGCCGGCGAG
rnacentral:rRNA from 1 species